GACGAACGCUGGCGGCGUGCUUAACACAUGCAAGUCGUACGGUAAGGCCCUUUCGGGGGUACACGAGUGGCGAACGGGUGAGUAACACGUGAGUAACCUGCCCACAACUUUGGGAUAACGCUAGGAAACUGGUGCUAAUACUGGAUAUGUGCCCCUGCUGCAUGGUGGGGGUUGGAAAGCUCCGGCGGUUGUGGAUGGACUCGCGGCCUAUCAGCUUGUUGGUGGGGUAGUGGCCUACCAAGGCGGCGACGGGUAGCCGGCCUGAGAGGGUGACCGGCCACAUUGGGACUGAGAUACGGCCCAGACUCCUACGGGAGGCAGCAGUGGGGAAUAUUGCACAAUGGGCGCAAGCCUGAUGCAGCAACGCCGCGUGCGGGAUGACGGACUUCGGGUUGUAAACCGCUUUCAGCAGGGACGAAGCUUUUUGUGACGGUACCUGCAGAAGAAGCACCGGCUAACUACGUG
rnacentral:rRNA from 1 species